GACGAACGCUGGCGGCGUGCUUAACACAUGCAAGUCGAACGGAAAGGCCCUGCUUUUGUGGGGUGCUCGAGUGGCGAACGGGUGAGUAACACGUGAGUAACCUGCCCUUGACUUUGGGAUAACUUCAGGAAACUGGGGCUAAUACCGGAUAGGAGCUCCUGCUGCAUGGUGGGGGUUGGACAGUUUCGGCGGUUGGGGAUGGACUCGCGGCUUAUCAGCUUGUUGGUGGGGUAGUGGCUUACCAAGGCUUUGACGGGUAGCCGGCAUGAGAGGGUGACCGGCCACAUUGGGACUGAGAUACGGCCCAGACUCCUACGGUAGGCAGCAGUGGGGAAUAUUGUACAAUGGGCGGAAGCGUGAUGCAGCAACGCCGCGUGCGGGAUGACGGCCAUCGGGGUGUAAACCGCUUUCGCCUGUGACGAAGCGUGAGUGACGGUAAUGGGUAAAGAAGCACCGGCUAACUACGUG
rnacentral:rRNA from 1 species